AAUGAACGUUGGCGGCGUGGAUUAGGCAUGCAAGUCGAGCGAGAACCCCGCAAGGGGGGACAGCGGCGAAAGGGACAGUACUGUGUAGAUUAUCUGCCCUCAGGUCCGGGAUAGCUGCGGGAAACUGCAGGUAAUACCGGAUAACAUCUCCGGAUCAAAGGUGUGAUUCCGCCCGAGGAUGAGUCUGCAUCCUAUUAGCUAGUUGGUGGGGUAAUGGCCUACCAAGGCAUUGAUGGGCAGCAGGUGUGGGAGGACGACCUGCGUCAUUGGGACUGAGACACCGCCCAGACUCCGACGGGUAGCUGCAGUCGAGAAUCUGCGGCAAUGGGCGCAAGCCUGAACGAGCGACGCGGCGGGUGGGAUGAAGGCCGUCGGGUUGUAAACCACUGUCAGGGGGGAUGAAAUGCAGGUGGGUUCUCGCAUCUGUUUGACGUAGCCUCAGAGGAAGGACGGGCUAAGUUCGUG
rnacentral:rRNA from 1 species